rnacentral:rRNA from 1 species
ACGUAGGGGGCAAGCGUUAUCCGGAAUUAUUGGGCGUAAAGCGCGCGUAGGCGGUUUUUUAAGCGUGAGGUGAAAGGCAAUAGCUUAACUCUUGUAAGCCUUGGGAACUGGAAGACUUGAGUGCAGGAGAGGAAAGUGGAAUUCCUAGUGUAGCGGUGAAAUGCGUAGAUAUUAGGAGGAACACCAGUGGCGAAGGCGGCUUUCUGGACUGUAACUGACACUGAGGCGCGAGAGCGUGGGGAGCAAACAG